rnacentral:rRNA from 1 species
UACGUAGGGGCCUAGCGUUGUCCGGAUUUAUUGGGCGUAAAGAGCUCGUAGGCGGUUCGGUAAGUCAGGUGUGAAAUCUCCACGCUCAACGUGGAGGCGCCACCUGAAACUGCCGUGACUCGAGUCCGGUAGGGGAGUGUGGAAUUCCUGGUGUAGCGGUGAAAUGCGCAGAUAUCAGGAGGAACACCAGUGGCGAAGGCGGCGACCUGGACAGAUACUGACACUCAACUACGAAAGCGUGGGGAGCAAACAGG